GUCUACGGCCAUGCUACCCUGAACAAGCCCGAUCCUUUCUGAUUUUGGAAGCUAAGCAGGGGCAGGCCUGGUUAGUACUUGGAUGGGAGACCACCUAGGAAGACCAGGUGCUGUAGGCA
rnacentral:rRNA from 1 species